UACGGAGGGUGCAAGCGUUGUUCGGAUUCAUUGGGCGUAAAGGGUGCGUAGGUGGCGCGCUAAGUCAGGUGUGAAAUUUCGGAGCUUAACUCCGAAACUGCAUUUGAUACUGGCGUGCUUGAGGACUGGAGAGGAGACUGGAAUUCAUGGUGUAGCAGUGAAAUGCGUAGAGAUCAUGAGGAAGACCAGUGGCGAAGGCGGGUCUCUGGACAGUUCCUGACACUGAGGCACGAAGGCCAGGGGAGCAAACGGG
rnacentral:rRNA from 1 species